ACUCAAAUGAAUAGACGGGGGCCCGCACAAGCGGUGGAUGAUGUGGAUUAAUUCGAUGCAACGCGAAAAACCUUACCUACCCUUGACAUGUACGGAAGUCCGAUGAAAGUCGGAUGUGCUCGAAAGAGAACCGUAACACAGGUGCUGCAUGGCUGUCGUCAGCUCGUGUCGUGAGAUGUUGGGUUAAGUCCCGCAACGAGCGCAACCCUUGCCAUUAGUUGCUACAUUUAGUUGGGCACUCUAAUGGGACUGCCGGUGACAAACCGGAGGAAGGUGGGGAUGACGUCAAGUCCUCAUGGCCCUUAUGGGUAGGGCUUCACACGUCAUACAAUGGUCGGUACAGAGGGUUGCCAACCCGCGAGGGGGAGCUAAUCUCAUAAAACCGAUCGUAGUCCGGAUUGCAGUCUGCAACUCGACUGCAUGAAGUCGGAAUCGCUAGUAAUCGCGGAUCAGCAUGUCGCGGUGAAUACGUUCCCGGGCCUUGUACACACCGCCCGU
rnacentral:rRNA from 1 species